rnacentral:rRNA from 1 species
GACGGAGGGGGCAAGCGUUGUCCGGACUCACUGGGCGUAAAGGGUGCGCAGGCGGCAGAGCGCGUCCACGCUGAAAUCUGUUGGCUUAACUGACAGGCGCGUGUGGAUACGGCUCAGCUCGAGGCACGGGAGAGGGUGGGGGGAACUCCUGGUGUAGUGGUGAAAUGCGUAGAGAUCAGGAAGAACACCCGUGGCGCAAGCGCCCACCUGGCCGUGACCUGACGCUGCGGCACGAAAAGCGUGGGGGAGCGAACCGGG